rnacentral:rRNA from 1 species
GACGUAGGGCGCGAGCGUUGUCCGGAAUUAUUGGGCGUAAAGAGCUCGUAGGCGGUCUGUCACGUCGGCUGUGAAAACACGGGGCUCAACUCCGUGCCUGCAGUCGAUACGGGCAGACUAGAGUUCGGUAGGGGAGACUGGAAUUCCUGGUGUAGCGGUGAAAUGCGCAGAUAUCAGGAGGAACACCGGUGGCGAAGGCGGGACUCUGGGCCGAAACUGACGCUGAGGAGCGAAAGCGUGGGGAGCAAACAGG